rnacentral:misc_RNA from 1 species
GAUGAAGAACGUAGCGAAAUGCGAUAAGUAGUGUGAAUUGCAGAAUUCAGUGAAUCAUCGAAUCUUUGAACGCACAUUGCGCCCCUUGGUAUUCCAUGGGGCAUGCCUGUUCGAGCGUCAUUUGUACCUUCAAGCUUUGCUUGGUGUUGGGUGUUUGUCUCGCCUUUGCGUGUAGACUCGCCUUAAAAUAAUUGGCAGCCGGCGUAUUGAUUUCGGAGCGCAGUACAUCUCGCGCUUUGCACUCAUAACGACAGCGUCCAAAAGUACAUUUUACACUCUCGACCUCGGAUCAGGUAGGGAUACCCGCUGAACUUAAGCAUAUCAAUAAGCGGAGGA